rnacentral:rRNA from 1 species
UAGGGAAUCUUCCGCAAUGGACGAAAGUCUGACGGAGCAACGCCGCGUGAGUGAAGAAGGAUUUCGGUUCGUAAAACUCUGUUGUUAGGGAAGAAAAAAUGUAUAGUAACUAUAUACAAAAGAGACGGUACCUAACCAGAAAGCCACGGCUAACUACGUGCCAGCAGCCGCGGUAAUACGUAGGUCCCGAGCGUUGUCCGGAUUUAUUGGGCGUAAAGCGAGCGCAGGCGGUUAGAAAAGUCUGAAGUGAAAGGCAGUGGAGCAACCAUUGUAGGCUUUGGAAACAGUUUAACUUGAGUGCAGAAGGGGGGAGUGGAAUUCCAUGUGUAGCGGUGAAAUGCGUAGAUAUGUGGGGGAACACCGGUGGCGAAAGCGGCUCUCUGGUCUGUAACUGACGCUGAGGCUCGAAAGCGUGGGGAGCGAACAGG